CAGCCGCCGCGGGAAUACGAAGGGUGCAAGCGUUAAUCGGAAUUACUGGGCGUAAAGCGUGCGUAGGCGGUGAGUUAAGUCUGCUGUGAAAUCCCCGGGCUCAACCUGGGAAUGGCAGUGGAUACUGGCUCGCUAGAGUGUGUCAGAGGGGGGUAGAAUUCCACGUGUAGCAGUGAAAUGCGUAGAGAUCGGGAGGAACAUCAGUGGCGAAGGCGGCCAUCUGGGACAACACUGACGCUGAGGCACGAAAGCGUGGGGAGCAAACAGGAUUAGAUACCCGUGUAGUCCCUGUCUCUUAUAC
rnacentral:rRNA from 1 species